CUGCACCGUUGCAGCUCAAAGCCAGCCGACCUAGUUCAUGCCUAUGCCCAAGUGGAGGCAGUUUGGUAUGCUUGAAUCACAUUAUUUUGCAUGAUCAUUAAAUCCAAUUUUGUCCUACCCUGUGCUCACUAUUCGUGCACACGCGUGUAUCCAGGCCCACUGUUGCCCUCAAUUUUGUUUGUUACAGUGAGGUUUUGCGUUUCUAACAAGCUCUCCGAGUGCUGCUGGUCCCACGGACUACACUUUGAGUAGUGAGGGCUUGGGAAAUUCUUAAGCGCACCAAACUUUGAGAAAUCCGUGUCCAGGUGCAUGUGCCCCUUAUUUAGUCGGGGUCAGGACACUGCCUCCCCAGUGGGAUUGGAUCUGGAAGGGAGGAAACAGAAUCAUGCCUCCACAGCUGUGCACACAUCUGUGUUCCUGUGGAAGGACCUUCCAAGUGUCCCCAGCAGACCCAGAUCCCUUCCUAAACGGUGGACUCACCUGGCUUCUGAUGACAAAUUGAAAUUAACACAGAGUGAUCACAAUUCAGGCAUACAAAAAUGGAGUCCGACUAAAAAAAAAAAAAUGGAGUCCGGUAGCAGUUGAGGAUCUGGUUUCAGACACAUCUCUGCAUCACUGAAAACCUGAACGUUCUUUGAGCUCUACCAGAUCCAUGGACAUCACCAGAGUACUCAGAACAACACUUGCCAGCUGCAAACCUUAUGGUCUCAAGGUCUCCCCUUGAAAUUAUUUAACCAUUUCGGACCCCAACCAAUCCUUAUUAAAUAAGCACCUUUACUUCUGGCCAGCUCCAAUUGUAAUUCUUGACAAACAACUCCUGUAACUAACUGUAACCUUGCGGUUUCUGCCUUCAUAAGCCUCCCCAUUUUGUAGUCCUGCAGAACACAAUUGAAGAGCUUCUAUAUAUAUAUUUUUUUUUUCGUUAUUUUAUUUAUUUAUUUAUUUUUGGCCCCCUUGGGUCUUUGUUGCUGCGGGAGGGCUUUCUCUAGACCCAGCGAGCGGAGGCUACUCUUCCUUGCGGUGGCUUCUCCUGUUGCGGAGCGCAGAUUCUUAACCUCUGCGCCACCAGGGAAGCCCUGAAGCGCUUCUUGAAUCUGUGUCUCCAGGAGUGCAGUGCUAGCAAACCCCAAAUAAGCACCUUGUUUUUCAAUCAGGUCUCCAUUUCUAAAAUUUUGGUUAAAUCUUCUAACUGUGCUGGGACCAAGGUAGGAAGGGGUGGGUUUCUCAUUCAUUCAGCAGAUACGUAUUGAAUGUCCAAGCAAUGAAUAAGACAGCCCCAGCCCCAGCAAGCUUGAGACUCAGUCUAUGGGUAAGAAAAACCUUAAACAAAUACGUACACCAUCAAUUCUGUGUUAUCACAAUUGGGGUGAGGGUCAGGAAGAAGUAGAGGAUAACUUGCAGACAUCUGAGGGGACUUGCACCAUUUGGGGUGUCAUGUUCUCUGAAGAAAUGAAGUUUAAACUUUGGGUGGAAGUGCUCAGUGGGAGUUGGCGGGAGGAGGAGGAGAGUGUUAAAGAGAGGAAGAAACAUUUAUACAUAUAUUUAUUGAGCACCUACUAGGUGCCAGAACUUUUAGCCCUGGGCAUCCUGAGAGGUACAAAUCAGUCCUCCUGGAGUUCCGAAUGUGCAAAGCUUGGGGAAGGGAGGGUGCUUCACGUGUCGGGGGUUGAAGGAAAAACUGGUGUGGCUACAGCACAGCGAUGAGAGGGGUGUUCGGAGGGGAGGGGCAGAGAGUCGGAGGUGGGUGGGGCCUGACCAUGAAAAGCACUCUAGGCCGCUUUUAGGAGGUUAGACUAAAACUUCUUGGCCAACCCCCAAGCAAGCCCCUCUGGGUUGAAGAGACAGCUGUCUGCAAUUACUUAGGAUUGGCUUUUAGAAGCAGAUUUUAGUUUCCUCAAACUUCUACCCAGCUCCCACUGUGAGUUGACUGACAUCAAAAGAAGCUAAGACUUCAGGGCUUGAAGGACCCUAAGAAAACAUCAACUCCAACCCUUUCUUUGUACAGAUUGGAAGACUGAGGCCCAGUGAGGCCCAGGAUUGCCCUGCUCAACCGUAUCAGACACGUCAGUACUCUCUACAUCCCCUCUGCCUACCCAUCCACCUUGGAGUUCACCAGCAGGCAAUUCCUGGACACACCUCUGACAGCUUCCUGCAUCUCUCUGACUGACGGCUUCAGGGCAGCCUGGAAGUAGAGAAUUAGGAAUUGACACCCCCAGAAAGGACCCUUGAACCAGCGAGAGACCAGAGUUGGUAGUAAAUACACCAAUUUCUUCACUCCUGAUGGGAUAACUUGAAGGCACGUUCCUUUUUUUUCACAUCCCUACUAACCAUUGUGCUUCCUGGGAUCACCUCACAAAUAAGCAGGGACUGUGGCAGAGUUAAACUGCAAGUCUCCAGACUCCUAGUCCAGUGCUCUUUCCUCACACCAGUGUUUCUCAACCUCGGCACUAUUACCAUUUUGGACUGGAUAAUUCCUUGUUCACGGGGGCUGGCCUGUGUAUUGAAGAAUGUUUAGCAGCAUCCCUGAACUCUAGCCACUAGAUGCCAGCAGCACCCUCCAGUUGGGAAUAAAAAAUGUGUCUUCCUUGUCAAAUGUCCCCUGGGGGAAAAUCACCCCUGGUUGCAAACCACUGCUGUACACCAGGCUGUCCCUCUUAGCAGGUCUAGAGAAAGAAUUCCAAGCCCUAAGAAUCCCUCCCCUUCCCGACGGCUCUUCAGAGAACAUAAAUGAAACCACUGAAAUUUACUCUGAAAAAUCUUUUAUUAGAGAUGAGUGAAAUAACAAGACACUGGGGGCUCUGAAGACAACCUUGCUCCUGUGGGAUCACAGACCUGUCAGGUCUCCAGGGUAAACAGCGCAGCCUCCCGGACCAGGCUGCUGCAUUGGCCAUUGGCAUCCUCUGGCCUCCCCUGUUUGUCCUGGUCCAUCCCAGGGCCCAGG